rnacentral:rRNA from 1 species
UAGGGAAUCUUCCGCAAUGGACGCAAGUCUGACGGAGCAACGCCGCGUGAGUGAAGAAGGAUUUCGGUUCGUAAAACUCUGUUGUUAGAGAAGAACAGCGCAUAGAGUAACUGUUAUGCGUGUGACGGUAUCUAACCAGAAAGCCACGGCUAACUACGUGCCAGCAGCCGCGGUAAUACGUAGGUGGCAAGCGUUGUCCGGAUUUAUUGGGCGUAAAGCGAGCGCAGGCGGUCAAUUAAGUCUGAUGUGAAAGCCCCCGGCUCAACCGGGGAGCGUCAUUGGAAACUGGUUGACUUGAGUGCAGAAGAGGAGAGUGGAAUUCCAUGUGUAGCGGUGAAAUGCGUAGAUAUAUGGAGGAACACCAGUGGCGAAGGCGACUCUCUGGUCUGUAACUGACGCUGAGGUUCGAAAGCGUGGGUAGCAAACAGG